rnacentral:rRNA from 1 species
CGGGACGGGUGAGUAACGCGUGGAUAACCUGCCGUAUACCGGGGGAUAACACUUAGAAAUAGGUGAUAAUACCGCAUGAGCGCACAGCUCCGCAUGGAGCGGUGUGAAAAACUCCGGUGGUAUACGAUGGAUCCGCGUCUGAUUAGCCAGUUGGCGGGGUAACGGCCCACCAAAGCGACGAUCAGUAGCCGGCCUGAGAGGGUGAACGGCCACAUUGGGACUGAGACACGGCCCAGACUCCUACGGAAGGCAGCAG